UUCAUAUCCGUAAAAAGCAAGAAAGCUCACAAGCAAGCUCCUCCAAUGGCGGAUUCAAACUCUUCUCUCCUUCCUCUUAGCGAAAAUAUCUCACACAAAAGCUAUGUUUUGAGAAUUGUGGAUCUCACGAUUCUCGGCCUUCUCUUUUCUCUUCUCUUAUACCGAAUCUUACAUAUGAGCCAAAAUGAUAAUGUUUGGCUUGUGGCUUUUCUCUGUGAAUCUAUUUUCUCAUUCAUAUGGCUGAUUAUUACCUGCAUAAAAUGGAGUCCUGCUGAAGAUAAACCCUAUCCAAAUAGACUUGAUGAAAGGGUUCAUGACCUUCCUGCAGUAGAUAUGUUCGUUCCCACGGCAGAUCCCGUUAGGGAGCCGCCAAUUAUUGUUGUGAACACUGUGCUUUCGCUGUUAGCUCUGAAUUAUCCAGCGAAUAAACUAGCGUGUUAUGUAUCAGACGAUGGAUGUUCACCUCACACUUUCUUCUCACUUAGAGAAGCUUCAAAGUUCGCCAAGAUUUGGGUUCCCUUCUGCAAGAAAUACAACGUUAGAGUUAGAGCUCCUUUUAGAUAUUUUUUAAACCUUUGGUCGUAACAGAUGAUUCGGUAUUCAUUAAAGACUGGGAAAUGACGAAGAUGAUGAUUUUGAGGCUUUCUCAAACACAAAACCAAAUGAUCAUUCAACUCUAGUUAAGGUGAUAUGGGAGAACAAGGCAGGCGUGGGAGACGAGAAAGAAGUCCCUCAUCUUGUAUACAUUUCAAGAGAGAAACGACCAAAUUGCCUUCAUCAUUACAAAACUGGAGCCAUGAACUUUCUGUUAAGAGUGUCAGGGUUGAUGACAAAUGCACCAUACAUGUUGAACGUAGACUGUGACAUGUAUGCCAAUGAAGCAGAUGUGGUGCGACAAGCAAUGUGUGUAUUUUUACAAAACGCAAAGAAUUCAAACCAUUGUGCUUUUGUUCAAUUCCCUCAAGAGUUCUAUGAUUCUUACGCCAACGAAUUCUCCGUCCUACAGUCGGUGCAAUCUCUCCCCUUCUUUUACAUUUUUUACUUGAACUUUUGAUCACUUCAAUGUCAUCUAUAGACCGAUGUUUACUCUUUGUUUAUACGUUAAAAUUAAGUAUUUGGGAAGAGGAGUUGCGGGAAUCCAAGGACCGAUAUAUUGUGGCUCUGGAUGCUUCCAUAUUAGAAGAGUUAUUGUUGAUGUACGAAACCGACAAUAUUAAUAAUACGAAUCUUAA